rnacentral:lncRNA from 1 species
ACCUGAAAGCUACCUUUUUAACUACCCUGUUACGGUGUAGUGUUUGAUAACCCCUAAGUAAGUCGAUUCACAUCUUGAGUACAUGCGACAAUCUCAGGUCUAAGGACAAAGCAUACAUGUUGUGCAAAGAAAGAACUACUUCUCAUGUUGGGUCAGUCCUAGCACAUGUCUCUACAUAUGCCUACAUUAUCAGUUUGACAUAUCCAUGUCCGUGACUUGUGAAACAUAGUCAUCAACUAAUACAUGUACUAGUCUAAUAUUUAUGUGUGUCCUCACAUGAACUCCGACUAGGGACAACUUUAGAAUAACCAUACAAGUAAAGAGUUUCACAAACAAUUCACAUAAUUGCAAAUCAAUUCAACUAGCCUUUAAUGGAUAUUCAAGGAACACAAUAUAAAUCAUGGAUACAAAUGGAAUAUCAUCAUCUCUAUGAUUACCUCUAGGGCAUACCUCCAACAAUCUCCCAC